UCUUAUCAAGAGAAGUCGAGGGAAUGGCCCGAAGACACUUCAGCAACCCCGCAUCAUGCGCGGAAGGUGCUACUUCCUAAAGGGAUCAAUCCCUUUACAGAUAAGA
rnacentral:ncRNA from 1 species